UUCGGCGGAGAGAGGGGGGUCUGUGACGUGUGUUGGACAUGUGGAUAGUGCAGUUGUAAACACUGUGUAUUGUCACUAAUCGACGUUUAGAUAUAACCAACCAAAGGCAAAGUUCUGGUGUUGUCAGCCUACAAAGAAUAACGGGCCGAAGGAAGGCAGAAGGAAGGCAUGACGUUGGCAGGAUGUAAUCAGCUGACUGGCCCUCGCUAUCCUGGUAGCAGGAAUUGAAUGAAAUACACCACGCAACACGACAGAAGGAAGGCAUGACGUUAAACACAACGCGACAGACACUUCGAAAAGUGGCCUAAUUGUAGCUGUAAUUACCAACAAAGACAGUGCAGAAGAGUAGGUUAAUAGCUAACGCGAAAAACCAAGACACGUGCCUAUGGAAAUAGAUGAAAAGACCUUCUAGAGUGAAGUUUUGAUUUAUAUUUUAAGGUUAGGUGUACUUUUGCAUUCUUACGACUUGGUAAAUUGUGGUUCCACUAUCUCAUCGAAACCUAUGUUAAUAAUCAAUCAUCAAGGAGGAUUUUCUCGUGACUUUCUGUCACCGGUGGGAAUUUUAAUCUCCAGUUUUCGAGAGUGUCUUUGAGCUGUGACUACAACAAUCGAAUUCCCUUACGCCUUGUACCGCCAGAUAUUAUAACAAUACAAGUUCUGUGCUGUGAUCGGUUUCCCACCGCUACAGUGAUGACACCAUGAGCACCAGAGAGAUUUUCUUAGACGGGGGAUCCCCGUGGGGAUUCCGUAUGCAUGGCGGCGCUGAUGUCGGCCAGCCUGUGAGGAUAUCACGGGCAAAUUCCAAGGUGGACGUGACCUCUUCCUUCCACAUGCUUUACAAUUCAUUGUCAGUUCAUCAUCAGGGCGAUGAUGGAGGCAGCACGGACCUCUAAAACGUCGGUAUACUUCUGCCAGACUACACGUCGCUACAACCCAGAAGACAGCCAUCUUCGGCUUUGAAACUUUGUUCCAAUAUUCAGAUUAAUAUCCCUUCUGUGAUAUGACUCAGCUUCUGUGUGACUUUUCGAAAUUGUGCUGUCCUCUGCCAGACUGAAUUUUUAAUUACUUUGGUAUUAAUAGUCUUUAUUAAAAUGGAUCAUUCAAAUUCAGUAUUGUGGCCCAACACA